CCUACGGGAGGCUGCAGUGGGGGAUAUUGCACAAUGGGGGGAACCCUGAUGCAGCGACGCCGCGUGGGUGAAGAAGCGCCUCGGCGCGUAAAGCCCUGUCAGCAGGGAAGAAAAUGACGGUACCUGACGAAGAAGCCCCGGCUAACUACGUGCCAGCAGCCGCGGUAAUACGUAGGGGGCAAGCGUUAUCCGGAUUUACUGGGUGUAAAGGGGGCGCAGACGGCGAUGCAAGCCAGGAGUGAAAGCCCGGGGCCCAACCCCGGGACUGCUCUUGGAACUGCGUGGCUGGAGUGCAGGAGGGGCAGGCGGAAUUCCUGGUGUAGCGGUGAAAUGCGUAGAUAUCAGGAGGAACACCGGUGGCGAAGGCGGCCUGCUGGACUGCAACUGACGUUGAGGCCCGAAAGCGUGGGGAGCAAACAGGAUUAGAUACCCCAGUAGUC
rnacentral:rRNA from 1 species